UGAUACGAAACACGUUCCCAUAUGUAAACUGGAAAACUAGGUGUUUAGGCCGUUAAACUGUUGCUGUGGUAACUAAAUUUGUGGCUUAGUUAAUCGCUGGUAUACUAACUCUCAAUUCCUUAAUCAACGCAGUUGAAAUAUGUCAUUCUGGACGUAAAUACAUAGUUGCCGAAAUGAACUUGACUGUUAUGAAUUUAAGCCGUCUUCGUGAUUUGUCCUCGAAUUUAGGAUGGAAAAACGAUGAUAAUACUUACGUGAUUGGACAUGAUUGUUUAAAUGCUUUAAAGAGUCUGGAAGAUGAACUAUUAAACGAAGAUGUUCUCAACCGAAAUGUUCGACUUGGUCUACAUAUUUGCAACACUGUCAAAGAAGAUUUGAUUCCUAUUCUGACAAAUGGAAAAGAUGCGAAGGUUCUCUCUACUGCAACCAGAGUCCUUGUGAACCUGAGUUUGCCAGUAGAGUGUCUUUUACCCAGAGAAGAUAUUCUAACACCAAGAAUCCGGAAUGUACAAAAGCAACUUGUGUUAUCUUCUUUGGCAAUAAAGAAAUCAUUUCUAGAUGCUGCUGCGACUUUAUCUCUUGUCAGUAUGUUAAGGGAAUCCAUGAUUAAAUCAGAGAAACAUAUGAUACCUUUAAAAGAUGAGGACUGCAAUCAUUUAAAAAACUGUUUGAAUCUUAUGCGAAAUCUUUUGCAUUUAUCAGAAGACACUACAUCUUAUGAGAAAGGCCUGACACAAAUACAUUCUGAAUUCCUGGCUACUCAGAGCAAAUUUAUUUGGAACUUAUUUGUUCAAGGAGUAGAUGGUGCACUUUUACUGAUGCUCAACAGUAAAUAUAGAGCUUACUGGACAGCUCCUUUAGCUCACAUAAUUGCUCUACUAUAUAGAGGCCAAAGUAUAUCAAAAGUUCAUCUGGCACUAGAAUUAGUAUCUUCAGCUUCAGAGAGCUCUGGUGAUGAAGAAAGUGAUGGUUCAAAGAAUUCAUCCUCAUCAUUAAGCAGUGAACCUUCAAAAAGUAAUGGAUUAAGUGAUUCAGGAUGUCCUUCAAAUUCUGAUGUAUCUGUUAUAUUUUCUGAUGAACGAAAAGACUGUCUUGAAGAAUCCAAAAAAUGUGGUAGUUUAGAUAUUCAUACUGAGCUUGAAAAAGUGCAAAUCUGUGAUGAUGAUCCAAAAUUUAACAUUCAAGUGAAACGAAUAAAUAGUUCAAAAAAUGGUGAGUGUAAAAUGAAAGUCUCUUCUUAUCGGGAUAAUGAUUCUGAAAGUUCAAGUUCAUCUGAAUCACCUCAUCAUAAAAAAAUUAAAGGGAGUAACAGUUCAUCUGAUGGGAUGAAGUUGAAGGAAUCUUCGGAGGGUCCUUCAAAAUAUGAUUCCGCUCUGUGUGAAAGUAUGGAUCAUAGUUCACCUGACAUCACGGAAAGUAAAUCCUCUGAUGAUGAUCUUUUUGAAGACAAAAAAUCAAAAAAUCUAAAAGCUGUACAUAAACUGAGAUGCUUGCAGAUCCAUUCAAAAAUAUUAGAAAGUGAUUCAAGCAAUGAGGAUGUGCAAGAUGUAAAAGUAAAAUAUCGUAGCCAUCCACCUGCUGGUCGAAGAGGUAAGAGUCCUAGGAGAAAUAAUGGUUGUAUUCCAUCAGUAUGUAUGGAUUCUGCCUUUGCUGUAUCAUGUGUUAGAGGAAGAAUGAGGUAUCCUUUGUGGGAAAAAAGAAAUAGUUUUUCUGCUUUAGUGGAUGCCUCUUGUCCAACUCCAACAGAUGAUGAUAUCGGAAACCUCUUAAAGGAAUUUACCUUAAGUUUUAUGCAUAGUGGUUUUUCCAAGUUAGUUUUGGAGAUAAAGGAUUUACUUCUUCAAGGGCCAUCUGCUGUCAUUGACAGAUCACUUUUUUUCUGGCUUUUGAGUUACUUCUUACAUCUGGCAGCCUCAGUGAAUAUUAGUUUAGAUCAUAUAAGUGCUAUCCUUAGCGUUGAAGUUAUUUCCUUCUUGGUGUAUGAAUGCGUCACUGCUUGUGAAAAUAUGGAGUUACAUUGUAAUGCUACUGAAAAAAUCUGCAAGUAUUAUUCAGUUCAAUUGGAUUUACUUGUAAAUGCAUUGAAAGAAAUACUGAAUACUGUUGAUUUGUACACUCGAAAACCUAGUUCGCAGAAAGAUAAAUCACAUUUUACGGAACUUUGCAGCAAAUUAGCUGAGCUUCAGGAUCUCAGACUUACUCCUCUCCUUCUGUUUCAAAGUGCAAGAAAUAGUAGUAGAAGAUGUAUGGAGGAUAUUGUUAUUCUUAAUCACCAGAUAUUGACAAUUGUAGAAAGAGGAUCAGAAAAUUGUAUGGCACUCAAGAAGAUGAACAUUGUGACGCAUUUAAAGCAAUUUUCUACGAGAAACGUUAUGAACUGCUAUGGAAAUCUGCUUGAAAAUUUCAAGACUAAUAGCCACUUUUUGAAUGAAUGUGUGUUCACAAUGAUGCACCAUAUAGCUGGAGAUGUUCAUUCAUCACAGUUACUUAUUGAACCAUCAGUUCUGAAAACUUUUUCCAGCAUUCUAAAAGAAGAUAUGGAGCUUGAACAAUAUCAAGAGGAUUUGAUUAUGUAUAUUUUGAACAAGUUCAGUAUGCAAGUCAAAAGGGAGAGCUUAAGAGUGAGAAAAGCUGAGAAAGUUGAUGAAAGUGACUCAAGUGAUGACUCAUCAAGCAAUAGCUCUGUUAGCAGUAAUUGUUUACUCUCUGAAGAUGAUGAUGACUUAUUUUGGUGGUAUCUGCAAUUUGAACAAGAUAAAGAUCCAAUCUCCAGAAUUUCUGAACAUAUUUCAACAUCCAAACGAGAUAUCCUUUCAAAAUUGCAAUUAAAGGGUAUAAUAUCUCCUGAGAAAUACCAGCAAUUAGAGGCACAAAUGAAGACUGGUCAGGAGCCUUGUUUGGAACUACUCCCAAAUGACAAUUUAGCUCAUAUGACUAAUUUUGAUGAUGAUAUCACACACCUGAUGCGUACUAUAGUUCAGGCUGGUGAACGACAGCAUCUGACUUGGUUACAAGAUGUUUUGCUUGAAACAUGUUAUGUCAAAUUAGGCUUGAAUACAUAUUUGCCUGAGCCUGUACCAUUGUAUUCCAUUAGAAUGAUGAUGUCAAUUCCAUUAGUACCAUACACUGAAGAACAAAGGUUGAUUCUUCGCGAUGAAGUAUUUUUGCAAUUGCUGCAAAAGUUAGGUUUGCACCUUGGUUUAGGUGAUAGUCAAAUGUAUCCUAGAGUACCAUUAUUUUGGAAGGCUGAUGUACUUUUUGCUAUUGCUGCCCGCCUUGGACCUAUGAGAAAAGAUAAGCUGAAAUUUACGUAUGAAGAACUUAUGCUGGCUGAUCCAAAUCAUGACCCUAUUCUUAGAAAUACUUUAUGUCCUCCUCUUCCUCCAUUAUCUUCAUGUUGCACUUUGAGCUCCUGGUUAACAGCUGUACAGCAGAGUAAGGAAUACUACAGAACUUCUAAUAUAAACAAAACAGCUUUUUAGUAUAAGAAAAAGUUUUUAAUUUUUAAAUGCCUGCAUCUCUUUAUAUCUCCAAGGAACUUUAUAUUUAUAAUAUAAAAUUUAAUCAUCUGAGUAUCAUAUUUCUGUGGAGCAUUUUCUGCCACGAAUGUUGGAUGUCAAGUAAUGCAUGGUGUGAUCUUUUGCCAUUUCCAUAAGUGCUCAACUUUAAAUGGUUGUUUUUUAAAUAUAUAUAUGCAGUAUUUAACAUGGAUGAUAUUUCUACAGCUGGAAGAUGUAACAUAUUUGGCUUCAACUGGAUAUUAGUUUUGUAUAACAAAAAUAAAUUAAAAAAAUUAAGUAAAUCUUUUAGAAUAUAUAAAAGAGAUUUUCAUGCAUUUUUAAUGAUUUUAAGUCAGGUAGAUUAAUAUUUCCCACCUUGAGGUUUUCUAUUUAGUUUUUUUUUUACUGAGUAUUUUUUAUUUUAAUGAAGCUGCAUAUUUUGAGGAAAAUAUACUUGUCAUGAAAUUUAUGUAAGCUUUCGACUUGCUUAACCACUAAAGUAAUUUUACAAAAGAGAUGUUGUACAGUGUUUUUAAAUAAGCAUACAUGUGCAUAAAGUUUCAAUUAACUAAUCAGAAGACUAUAAUAACUAAUUAAUAAUAUAUUGACUAUAACAAUAUUGUAAUGGUUUGACUUUCUCAUUUUUGACCAUACCUUAAUUAUUUCUGAAACCAUUAGAAUAUAUUUCAAUUACAUCAUGACUUUUAAAUACAAAAGUACAUCUAUUACAUAACUAUGUAAUAUACAGUUGCCCUUCAGACUGAAAACUAUUAUUAGACUGAAUAAAUUGGUUGAUACUGUAAACAUCAAGGAUUAUGCUUAAUAGAUUUUGUUAGUUAUAACAAAGAAACAUUUUUCCAUCUAUAUGUUGUAUUGUGUUAAACUGCAUUGUAUUGAUAAAAAUUUUCAGUAACUGUAUAAGAUCACUAAACUGUCUGUUGAUCAUGAAAAUUUGUUAACUGCUCACUUAAAUAAGCAGCAAUGUUAUAUAAUUACUUGGCAAAAUCAGCAUAACAGGAGGGUAUUUUUUAUGUACAAAUAUUUCUUUCUUCCUGUUUUAUUUUAAAUAUGUAUAUAUAGUCUAUAUGGAUAUAUUUUAUUGUUUUAGGAAAAGUUUUUCUGUUAUAUUUUGAAUCGAAUGUUAUGAGUUUAUCCUUUAAUGUUCAUGUCAGCAUUUAGCUUCAAACUGUAAACUUGUGUGUAAUGCAUUGUAAUGUAAUUUGUAUGUUAAUUCAUGAAAAAUGUCAUUUCAUUGUAAAGUUAAAAUUUUAAUUUUUAAAUGUGUAAAAUUUGAAGCAAAUAUCUUGCUAAACAUUUAAUGAGCAUUACAUUUUUUACUGUAAUUCUGGUACAUAUGUUAUAUUAAUGUAUAAUACUAGGAAUUUCCCUACUUUGCUUGUUAAAUCUAUUAAAUGAUUGUGGAGUUGUGUCUAUUUUUCUUUACAGAAAUAUGUUUUAGUAUGCUUGGUAAUUUAUGGUGUUAUAUUUCAAUGUUACGUGUAUGUUAAUGAUAUAGAGUUCAAAUAAUCAAUUUCAUUUGAUUAGUGCUAUUUUCAAGCACAUGUUUUUGUGUUUAUAAAAAAUUCGUUUUGUAUGAAGUUUAAUUGUUAUGUUUCAGUGGAAGGUUGUGAAAGGAUAGAAUUAUUUUCUGGUUUUAAUGUUAUUCAAUAAUAUUUUUACUCAUGCUACAACUAAGAUUUAUGUGGGUUAGUAUUACAGGGUAAUUUUUAAUCCUUAUCUCUUUUUUUUAUUAUGGGCAUGUGAUAAAUUUUAUUUUUAAUUUGCUAUUUUGUGAUGUGUAUGCAAAGAUUUUUAUUCAAUGUAUCAUUCAUAAUGCUAAAAUAUUUGUAUUGAUGAAUUUUACUUCUAUUUUCCCUAAUAAUCACCCUCCAUAACCACAGUUAUGUGAUGUGUACAGUUGUGUGUGUAAUCACAUUACCUUUAAUUGUAUAUAUGUAUGUGUGUACAUAUACACAAGCAGAUGCAAACUAUAUAUAUGGUGGGAUGUUGUGUUUAGUGAAAUAGAAAUGUCAUUGAAUAAGAUUUUGAAAAUUCAGGAUCUCAAGAUAAAAUUCUUAUAAUUUUGAAACUCGAUUUUAUUAAGUUUUAAUUACAUUUCCUACAAUAUGCAUUCAUAACACUUUGAAAAUAUUUUGGGAUUUUUUCUUGUAGGAAGAUCAGAUUUGAUCUUCAAGGCUUAUCCACUUUAUCGUGCACAUAUAUGCAUUGCUGAAAAUUAAAAUGAUUAUUUUUUCUGAAUAGGGAGUUAACUUUCAGGGCUAUUUCUGCCUAUUGUUUAAUUAGUAAACGGCAAAAACUUUAAGUGUACCCAAUGUUAUAUUUUUAAAGUGAUUAUUAUAAUAAAAUGUAUCAUAGGAGUGCAUACAAGGGUUUAAGAGCACCUCAAAAUUUUAUAUCUUCUUUUUUACAGUUAUAUAUAUUUAGGAGCACCUUGUCUUUAUGAAUUUAAUUUGUUCCUAACAGUGAUUCAUAAAGCAGAGUGUAGUUGUAGAGUUUGACUAUUAAUAAACACUUUAAUGAAGUAGCAGUGUUAUGGCAAUCAUUCACUAAUAAGCUAUAUUGUGCACUGCUACAGAAAUCUGGACAAUUUAUUUUUUUUUUAAAUUUAGCUUAAUUUUUUGUGUCCAAAAAUUUAAUUAUCAUUCCAAGGUUUCAUAAAGCUGAGGUUUCCAAAGUGAAGUAUGACAGCAUAUGUGUCAGUUUUUCUUCUUACUAAAUGAAUAAUAUUUUGCUGUUAGUAAAAAUUUUGUUUUUAAUAAAGCUUCUUGUAAUUUAUAAAACAGGAUUUAUUAUUCAUCAUUGAUACUAUGUAAUUGUUUAAUUGCAUGCAAAAUAUUAUCCUGUUUAGCAGUGUUUGACUAAAUUUAACUUCGACCUGCCCUUAUAUCAAUGUACAAACUUGUUAGAAUUGAUUGUUUUGCAUAUGUGAACUGUAUAUUUUUUGUAAUAAAAAUUUGUUUUUUUUUUG
rnacentral:misc_RNA from 1 species